GUGCCUACGGGAGGCAGCAGUAGGGAAUAUUGCUCAAUGGGGGAAACCCUGAACCAGCCAUGCCGCGUGCAGGAUGACGGCUCUAUGAGUUGUAAACUGCUUUUGUACGAGGGUAAACCCCGAUACGUGUAUCGGGUUGAAAGUAUCGUACGAAUAAGGAUCGGCUAACUCCGUGCCAGCAGCCGCGGUAAUACGGAGGAUCCGAGCGUUAUCCGGAUUUAUUGGGUUUAAAGGGUGCGUAGGCGGUUUGAUAAGUUAGAGGUGAAAUGUCGGGGCUCAACCCCGAA
rnacentral:rRNA from 1 species